AUGACGAUGGUGCGGUGGACGGCUGGGCGCACGACGGCACGGAGCCCACCUCCCUUACGGCCCCCCGGCAGAGUGCCCCGAGGCCGCAGAUUCUCCUCCCCUCCGCGGCCACGUCUCCGCAGCCGCUCGAGCGCGACCCUCAACUACGACGCGGUGGGAGGAGCCCUGCGACGACAUGCUCCCGUGACCACAACCACUGCGUCCGCAAGAAAGCCGCAUGGAUUGGGGAUAUGUACUUCGGUUUGGGUUCAUCAAAAGGGGCAAUCUUUGAGCAUUUGUAUCAACUGCCGGGGAUCUCAAGUUCACAUGGAGUGCACUAUGAUCAAGUGCAUUCUGGUGCUAUGA
rnacentral:rRNA from 1 species